AGAGUUUGAUCAUGGCUCAGAUUGAACGCUGGCGGCAUGCCUUACACAUGCAAGUCGAACGGUAACAGGUCUUCGGAUGCUGACGAGUGGCGAACGGGUGAGUAAUACAUCGGAACGUGCCCGAUCGUGGGGGAUAACGGAGCGAAAGCUUUGCUAAUACCGCAUACGAUCUACGGAUGAAAGCAGGGGACCGCAAGGCCUUGCGCGGACGGAGCGGCCGGUGGCAGAUUAGGUAGUUGGUGGGAUAAAAGCUUACCAAGCCGACGAUCUGUAGCUGGUCUGAGAGGAUGAUCAGCCACACUGGGACUGAGACACGGCCCAGACUCCUACGGGAGGCAGCAGUGGGGAAUUUUGGACAAUGUGCGAAAGCCUGAUCCAGCCAUGCCGCGUGCAGGAUGAAGGCCUUCGGGUUGUAAACUGCUUUUGUACGGAACGAAAAGACUCUGGAUAAUACCUGGGGUCCAUGACGGUACCGUAAGAAUAAGCACCGGCUAACUACGUGCCAGCAGCCGCGGUAAUA
rnacentral:rRNA from 1 species